UACGUAGGUGGCGAGCGUUAUCCGGAAUGAUUGGGCGUAAAGGGUGCGCAGGCGGUCUGUUAAGUCAGCGGUCAAAGCCCGGGGCUCAACCCCGGCCCGCCGUUGAAACUGGCAGUCUCGAGUUGGAGAGAAGUAUGCGGAAUGCGUGGUGUAGCGGUGAAAUGCUUAGAUAUAACUUAGAACUCCGAUAGCGAAGGCAGCUUACCAGACUGCGACUGACGCUGAAGCACGAGAGCGUGGGUAGCGAACAGG
rnacentral:rRNA from 1 species